UACGGGGGGAGCAAGCGUUGUUCGGAUUUACUGGGCGUAAAGGGCGCGUAGGCGGCGUGGUAAGUCACUUGUGAAAUCUCCGAGCUUAACUCGGAACGGUCAAGUGAUACUGCUGUGCUAGAGUACAGAAGGGGCAAUCGGAAUUCUUGGUGUAGCGGUGAAAUGCGUAGAUAUCAAGAGGAACACCUGAGGUGAAGACGGGUUGCUGGGCUGAUACUGACGCUGAGGCGCGAAAGCUAGGGUAGCAAACGGG
rnacentral:rRNA from 1 species